GUAGAGCCUCAUCAACACUCACCAUGAAGAUCACGCUCUCCUUAUUACUGAUACUACUCAGCUUCAAUGGUGGGAAAUGUCAAAGUGUGGAAUCUUUACAAACUGCAGUUCAGCUAAAACCUGGAGAAACUCUGAGUCUCUCCUGUAGAGGAUCUGGAUUCACUUUUAGCAGCUAUGACAUGCACUGGAUCAGACAACAGGCUGGAAAACCACUCGAAUGGAUAGCAGAAGUUGGGAGUAGUGGAAGUAACAAGGCGAAAUCUUUUGAUGGACGUGCUGAAUUUACAAAAGACGAUUCCAACCGCAUGGUGUACCUGAAACUGUCUGGUGUGACAGUCGAGGACUCAGCUGUGUAUUACUGUGCAAGUGAGACACACAGUGAAGAACAUGGGUGGAAAGACUGUACAAAAACAUGUCCAGAGCUUUAGCUUCAGCAGGUGGUAAAGAAAGUUAGGCAGAAUG